rnacentral:lncRNA from 1 species
GACAAUUGAUAUUGAAUGAAUGAAUGAAUGAAUGAAUGAAUAGGCUGGUGAUUAGCCAGAAAGACAAUUUCAUCUGCAAGCAAUUUCAUCUUCAUCAUCUUGUGGCGUGUGCAUCUUUGCGUGGUGUUGGUGGUGAUGGUUUGGGGCUGCUUAAUGCAAAGUGUCCCUGAAGGCAGUUGUUUAAAAAAAGAAGCAUCUCGGGAGUGAAAAUAAUAAUAUCUAGAAAUUCAUUGAGAACAAUGCCAGGCCUUGUUCUAGUUCUUUUACAUGAGUUAACUCUAUGAAUUUCUCAACUAUGCUUCAAGUGGGUACUAUUAUUAGUCCGGCGUUACAGGUGAGAAAAUAGAAGCGAUGCAUGAAAGGCAGUAAAGUAACUUUCCCAAGGUCGCAUGGCUAGUCCAAGACUCCUUUGGUCGUAGACUAGUUCUCCAUGAUAAAACCAUAGAUAGUUCUCCCUUUUAGCUGGAUGACUCUACCUCCUGAAGAAGGAUGCUAACUCCCAGUCAGGUGGCAGGGAGCGGAACGUGGCUCGUGGGCAAGGGUAGGCAGGGACAAAGAGAAGCGGGUUGCUUCUUCCCAAACUGCUCUCCUGAUGCCUCAUCAACCACCCUCCCUUUCCACCUCCUUCCAGGGUCUGCUCCGUCGUAGCCAUUCCCUCUGGGAUCGCAGUGCCAAAGCUUCCCCCUGCCCUGGAGAAGACGUAGCCCUGUGGCUCUGUUGAGUGCGUGACAUGGUCUUCACUGGCCUGAUGGGGUUUACAGGGUGAGGGCUGCUCACUAUACUACACUAUAUACUACACUGUGCGCUGUGCACUAGGACCAUAUACGCUCUACUGUAACAGAGCCAGGACCCACGGGGUGGCAAGGGUACAACUCCUUUGGGGCCCGAAGGUGAAAAUGAAGCCCCCCUCCCUGGGGGCUUUGGCCCCUCAAAUGAAGCAGCCGGAAGCCCAAACGCUUUCACUAAAUUCUGCCACAUGCUCGGCUGGGCGGUUCUGCGGUUCUCACUCAGGUGCCUGCGGCCAGGUGGGACAAGGCUCUGCUCCACACGUCUCUCCUCUUCUCCUGGGACCAGCAGACCAGCCCAGAUGUGCCCCACCCCUUUUAAUCACAGUAAAUAAAAUAAACAUAAAACUUAACAUUUGAAUCUUUUUUUUUUUGCUUUUUGGGGCUGCACUUGUAGCAUAUGGAAGUUCCCAGGCUAGGAGUCCAAUCGGAACUGUAGGUGCCAUCCUACACCACAGCCACAGGUCCAAGCCACAUCUGUGACCCACAACUCAGAAUGUUGCAGAUGUUUUACUUUCCUUCCUCUAAGCAUUGUCUUUUGUCAUAUUAUGUGUUGUGAUUUGUGUUGUGUGUGUGUAUCUGGUGUGUGUGUGUGAAAUUUGUCAUUUAAGACUGCUUCAAGUCUAUCAAAACCUUAAUUUUUUUUUUUUUUUCUUUUUAGGGCCGCACCCAUGGCAUAUGGAAGUUCCCAGGCUAGGGGACGCCACAGCCAUGGCAACGCAGGAUCCAAGUCGCCACAGCUACAACAACAUGGGAUCUGAGCCACUGUGACCUACACCACAGCUCACGGCGACGCUGUAUCCUUAACCCACUGAUUGGGGUCUUCAGGGAUUGAACUGCAUCCUCAUGGAUACUAAUUGGGUUGGUAAUGCACUGAGCCACAACAGGAACUCCUAAACCAUUUUUAAGGGUACAGUUCUGUGGCAAUAAGUGCAUUCCUAUCACUGGGUAACUAUUACAACAAUCGACUUCCAGAACUUUUUCAUCACUCCAUACAGAAAUUCGGUACCCAUGAGGCUACAACUCCCAAUCCCCCCUCCCUGAGCCCCUGGAAACCCUCAUUUUACUUUCUAUCUCCAUGAAUCUGUUGUACCUCAAACACAGGGAAUUGUACAAUAUUUGUUUUCUUGUGUGUGGCUGAUUUCACAUAGCAGAACAUCUUCAAGGUUCAUCCAUGUUGCAGCAUGUGUCAGAAUUUUACAUACACAUGCUUAACAUUAGUUUCUAAGGUUCGAUGCCAUAUGAUCCAGCGAUCCCACUCCUGGGCAUAUAUUCGGACAAAAGGUUCAUUGAAAAAGAUACAUGCACCACUAUGUUCAUUGCCGCGCUACUCACAAUAGCCAAGACAUGGAAACAACCUAAAUGUCCAUCAACAGAUGAUUGGAUUAAGAAGAUAUGAGAUAUAUAUACAUAUACAAUGGAAUACUACUCAGUCGUGAAAAAGAACAAAUUAAUGCCAUUUGAAGCAACAUGGCUGCAACAGGAGACACUCAUACUAAGUGAAGUCAGAAAGAGAAAGACAAAUACCAUAUCAUAUCACUUAUAUCUGGAAUCUAAUAUAUGGCACAAAUGAACCUAUCCACAGAAAAGAAACAAACACAUGGACUUGGAGAACAUACCUGUAGUUGCCAAGGGAGUUGCAUGGACUGGGAGUUUGGGGUGAGUAGAUGCAAACUAUUGCAUCUGGAGUGGAUAAGCAAUGAGAUCCUGCUGUACAGCACAGGGAACUGUAUCCAAUCACUUACGAUGGAACAAGAUGGAGGAUAAUGUGAGAAAAAGAAUGUAUAUAUGUAUGUGUGACUAGGUCAUUUUGCUGUACAGUCGAACAUUGACAGGACACUGUACACCAACUAUAAUGGAAAAAAUACAAAUCAUUUUUUUAGAAAGAAUGUAUGUACAUAUUUAUGACUGGGUCCCUUUGCUCUACAGCAGAAACUGACAGAACACUGUAAAUCAAAUCUAGUAUAAAAAAUAAAAAUUAAAAAAAAAUAAAGCUCA